UACGGAGGGGGCUAGCGUUGUUCGGAAUUACUGGGCGUAAAGCGCGCGUAGGCGGACCUGCAAGUCGGGGGUGAAAGCCCGAGGCUCAACCUCGGAACUGCCUUCGAUACUGCGGGUCUCGAGUCCGGGAGAGGUGAGUGGGAAUUCCUAGUGUAGAGGUGAAAUUCGUAGAUAUUAGGAAGAACACCAGUGGCGAAGGCGGCUCACUGGCCCGGUACUGACGCUGAGGCGCGAAAAGCGUGGGGGAGCAAACAGGG
rnacentral:rRNA from 1 species